rnacentral:lncRNA from 1 species
AUUUGACUCAACAUGCAAAAACUUCUUCUGAGUGCAUGCCAAGAGUUUUGAAGGUGAAUUCAUGCUUUCCUCCCUCAUGUUCGUGAAUACUGCACCAUGUUAUUUAGCUUCCUCUGGAAAAGCUUUCCUUUUGUUGUCAACUGGUGUGUAAAACACUUUGUUGGACACCUUUGUACUAGUUUCCUAUCAAAAAAGUCAAAUUGUGUGCAUAUUAUCACCUUAAUGCAUGGAAGGGUUUCUAAUAAUUUCUUUCCGCUUAUGACGUCUUUCAUCAAAUUUUCCUAGUUACACAGAGAACACUGUAGCGCGCAGUUUGAGUCUACAAAAGCAACUCUGUCGAUAUGCUUCUGUUUCUCCGGAUGCUGAGGUCGUCUACUUUCUCUUCCCAUUGGCAUUGAUCUCUCUGAUAUCUUAGUAGCUACGCUAUCUGUGGCAAAGGAUGCUCUGUUUAUGUAACUUAGUUGUGAACAUAAGUUGAUGGUUUAACUUGUUAGUUUACAAUAUUUUCUUCCAUUCAGAAAGGGAUAAAAACGUAUAAAGGGGGAAGGGGUUUGCUUUGUGAAAGAAUGCUUGGGGCUACAUCAAUUUGGAUUUCUACUUGUGGAAAAUAUUGAGU